rnacentral:lncRNA from 1 species
CUAUUAGUAUUUAUGCAUCCUGUAAUGCCUAAGUACUCAUUUUUUGACCUCCUAAGUUUUUGCUUUUUUCUAAAUAUAAGUUGGGAUAUUAGCUAUCAUAAAUUCUACUCAUUAGACUUUCCUGUUUCACUGAUAUAAGUUUCAAAUUUCUGCUGCUAGAGAGCUCUGAGUUAUAGCCAGAAACAUGGCAGCAUGAACAACAAUGUUAGUGCAUCUGAAGUAGUGUGUGGUGAUAGUUUUUAACUGCAAAAAAUGUGCCUCUGAUUGAUAUUCAUUAGAGAAUGAAAGCUCUUUAUAGGGAUAAAUGCAUAGACAUCAGUAUUGUGCAACAUUGGGCUGUACAUGUUUAUAAUGAAGAACAUAAUGAUGCUCUUAACUUGUGUGACAAAAAACAGGACUGGAAGGUUAUGUAUUGUAAUUAAUGAAGCUCAUCAUCAUCAUGCUGAUGAACUCAUUAAAAGAAAUUGUCACAAUGGAAGAACAACCGUCAAUUGUGGCAUAUCUCGGGAACAUGUGCAGGCAAUAAUUGCAGAACUGAGAUUGUGAAAACUUUGUGCACAAUGAGUUCCUCAAAUGCUCAUUCCUCAUACAAAUCAAACGAGAUUGGAAAUUAACCAAUAAUUGUUUCUGUGCUCCGAACAUGAAGAUGAUUGAUUCUUAAACAAAAAAAAAGCUGGGUAUAUACCAUUUCAAUCCUGAAAGCAAGAUAAUGUCCACAGACAUUAAAUUGCUUUCAAUGGUCCACAAAUUAUAUUUUGUAUGUGAU